UGAAGAGGGUAGAAGAAUAGGCAGCAGAAUCAAUGAGCCAAGGCAGAAGGUUUUGAGGAUUGGUGAUGGGCUCUGCAGAUCUCCAGUGAUGGCAAUACUUAAUUCUGGGCCUGAUAUCUGUUAUAAGGCAAGGAAAGAGCAACACAAGGGGAAGAGGACAGUCGGCUGAAAGUUCUCGGAAAGUUUGGCUCUUCUUCGCCUCUACACAAGCUGGUGGUGGAGAACCCCGGUACUGCUCCACGGCAAGGCUAGAUGAGCUUGCUCCCUCUACUCUACUCUC